UUUGCUGCAGACACCAAACCUUUCUUGGCUCACAGCAUGUUCGAUGUGGUUGGAUCGUUGGCCAUGCUUAUGGCUCUGGCGGAGUGUAAUUUGUGGCGGAGCGAUAAUUAAUUAGCAGUAAAUUAAAGUGACAGUCCGGUGAUUAUGUCACAGUGGGAGAGCUCUUCAAAAACCACAUUGAUAUGCAAAUGAAUCGGUGUUGGCCCAAAGAAAUGCCCUUUUGGAAUUUGCUGAUUCAUGUCGUUUUUAACAAUUAUUGAAAAGAAAAUAAAUGCGACCAACAUCACCUUGA
rnacentral:sRNA from 1 species